CUUAUUAAUUUACUUGGAGGAUUAACUAGUAAGUUGUAUUUUUGUAAAUGUCUCCAGAAGCUCUGGGGCAUUCAUUUCUAAGAACACAAUGAACGAAUGCUAAUGCCUACGAGAACAUUUCCAGCCUGAAACAGACCCAGUCAUCAGCAAUACAGUACAACUUCUGUGGGACAUUGGAAGAACAGCUGUAAAAUGAUCUACAAAGACCCAUCAGAGGAGCAGUGCUGCAGAACUCUCCAUGCCCUCGGGACUGCAGUAUGUGUUUGGAGACUAAGGGCAUUCUACGGCACCACAAUAUUACAGUCUAAACCAAGAAGGCAGUGGUACCACACCCAGUUUAGCCUAAGCAACUGCUCUAUGACUGGUCUACAUCCUCAAUCCAAGUG
rnacentral:lncRNA from 1 species